UGGGGAAUAGAGUUGCUCAGCUAAUUUUCCUGGCUGAUGGGACCUCCCAGGGGGCAUCUCCGAAUACGUCCACUGUAGUUUGGUUGAAAGAACCCCGGAGUGGGAGCCAGGAGGUCUAGAUUCUCCCCUCAGCUCUACGAUAACUGAGAAACUAUUCCAAGCAGCUGGGACACCUGUGCCACUGUCUUGGUGCCACACGCCUGCCUUCUGCCAGUGGCUGCCCAGGUGUGAGCUGGCCCCUCCCCAGGGCUGCAGACACCAAAUAAGCUUCCUGGGAUGGGCAGCUGUUCCCAACCCCAGCCCCUCUGCUGCCUUGGAACAGAUCACCACUGAAAGAGAGGAAGCUGCUACUGUGAUGAAUUCUGCCACAUGGCAUCAGAUUGCUGCCCAGACCACCAUGCCCUCUGCAACCCGGCUUCUCAGAAUACCAAGAUGGUGCUGCAGAUGGUGCUGAGGAUGGAGAACACCCCAAGCCCCGCGAGACGCAAUCUAGACUGGAUGCAGAGCAUAGUCCAGCAACUUCUCCAAACCAGCCUCCCAGGGACGCCCCUCUCCAUCUCCAUGAAGGGAAUCAAGAAGAGAGCCUGACAUCUCCCGUGAAGCUCCUCCCUGCCCUUGCCCCUGGGCCUGCUGGGGCCACAUCCCUGGACCCAGUGUGCUUGUCUCUUUGGUUUCUAUCCUGCGUGCUUCCACAUUGGCUCAACCAGAGGAAAACGGAAAUCUGCAAUUGUUGUAAACACAUUUAAAUCAGCCAUACAGAGUAUAGAACAUAA